GUUGGUUUUCCCUCUAGAAGGAU
rnacentral:snRNA from 1 species